AAGCCGGGGGGCAACCGGACCCCCUCAGGAGCAACACAUACCUGCCCCAUGGUAUCAUGCAAAUUUUCACAAUGUUGGGAGAGAUGGAGGCUCCACGAAAUCCAGCCACACUGCAAGCGGCCUGAGUCUCCUCACCAUGGCCCCUCAGCUCGCACCAGCCCUGGAGCCCUGCGGAACUGAGCUGGAUACGGAAUAGAAAAACUCAUGAGUUAAAAGCCCCAGGGGGA